GGCGCGGUACGCAAAGCAGGAAAAGCGGCCAAGCUCAAACCUUGGUGAACUGCGGGUUCGACUCCCGCCUGCGCCA
rnacentral:tRNA from 1 species